rnacentral:ncRNA from 1 species
GAAAAGUUUUAUUUUGGCUUAAAAAUUAAGUUUAAUUAUAAUUUAUAUGUAAAUAUAUGUGUAAAUAAUCUAGAUUUUUAAUAGAUCUAAAGGUUUUUAAUUCGCAGUAAAUAGAUUUAAAUAAUUAAGUAAAUUUAGAUUUAGUAAUAAUUGAUAAUAUUAACAAAUAUUGUGCCAGCAGUUGCGGUUAUACAAAUGAUGUGAUUUAAUUUUUUUAGUAAAAAUUAAUUUUAUAAUAAUUUAAUUUUAUAAUUAAAUUUAUUAGGUGAAAUUUUAAAUUUAAUUAAAAAUUUAUGUGAUUUGAUGAAGUUAAGAAAUUUAAUUUAUAAACUAGGAUUAGAUACCCUAUUAUUUUAAAUGUAAAUUAAUUUCUAGAUUAGUAUUAGUUAUGUUCUUGAAAAUUAAAGAUUUUGGCGGUAUUUUAGUCUAUUUAGAGGAACCUGUUCUGUAAUUGAUAAUCCACGAUUAAAUUUACUUAUUUUUAAUAGUUUGUAUAUCAUUGUAGUUUGAAUAUUUUAUAAGAAUUAAAUAUUCAAGAUUUUUUAUUAAAAAUAAAUCAAAUCAAGGUGCAGUUUAUAGAUAAGGAGAAAUGGGUUACAAUAAAUUUAUUUAUAUGGAUUUAAGAUUUUAAAAAUUUUAGUGAAAGUGGAUUUAAAAGUAAUUUUAUUAAUUUAAUUAAAAUGAUUUAAGCUCUAGAAUAUGUACAUAUUGCCCGUCGCUUUCAUUAUAAAAUGAAAUAAGUCGUAACAAAGUAGGCUUACUGGAAGGUGAGGCUAGAAAGAA